AGUGUGUGCCCUGCUUUAGACUCAGCUGUUUUCACAUAUUCUCUGAUGUGUGUUCACUGUUAUCUCCAGUCUUUUAGUAGAUACGGCUUAUACUGACAUGAGCCAAAUAUAUGUACAAGUCCAAUGUAAAAAUGAACAUGUGUUAAAAACAGAACUCUAAAAUGACUCUGAUAUCCACAGUAGCAGCUGAUCUCCACUCUGAAUAUAUCCUUCCAGUCUGUCUUCUGCCUUUCUCUUCUAUCUUGAGCCGUGUGUGUCCUUCUGUUGUUCAGCCCUCUGUGCCAGUCAUCCUGUUACUCUGAAACUGAAUGUAUGUGGAACAAUAAAAAACACACAGGCUCCGA